rnacentral:sRNA from 1 species
AACGGUGCUGGCAGGACCUUCAAGCAGCAGAUUGCUUGCGACAUCGUUGAUCCACCUCAAAAGCGGCACGUCAUUGUUACCGGUUUGAUUCCUUGAUCGUCAUGCACCUGGGCAAUUGCCCGUCAAUCUCGUUUUAAAGGAAUUAAAAAUGGAAACUGGUACCGUUAAAUGGUUUAACGAUGCAAAAGGCUUUGGCUUCAUCACUCCAGAUGCAGGCGGCAACGACCUGUUCGCUCACUUCUCCGAAGUGCGCUCGGAAGGCUUCAAAUCGCUGACCGAAGGCCAGAAAGUUAGCUACACCCCAGGUAUGGGUCAAAAAGGCCCACAAGCCACCAAUAUCCAGGCUCUGUAAUUUUUUACAGCGUUUGAUAAAAACCCCGCUACGGCGGGGUUUUUUGU